UUGUCCUAUAGCUCAAUGGUAGAGCGCCCGACUGUUAAUCGGAAGGUUGCUGGUUCGAGCCCAGCUGGGACAGU
rnacentral:tRNA from 2 species